AAUUUUUUAAAGGUCGAACAGACCUAAAAUUUUUAUUUUCUGCUCCAAAAUUAAAAAUUAAUUCAACAUCGAGGUCGCAAACAAGUUUAUCUAUAUGAACUAUACAAACUUAUUACG
rnacentral:rRNA from 1 species